UACAGAGGUCUCAAGCGUUGUUCGGAUUCAUUGGGCGUAAAGGGUGCGUAGGCGGCGCGGUAAGUCGGGUGUGAAAUCUCGGAGCUUAACUCCGAAACUGCAUUCGAUACUGCGGUGCUUGAGGACUGGAGAGGAGACUGGAAUUCAUGGUGUAGCAGUGAAAUGCGUAGAGAUCAUGAGGAAGACCAGUGGCGAAGGCGGGUCUCUGGACAGUACCUGACACUGAGACACGAAGGCCAGGGGAGCAAACGGG
rnacentral:rRNA from 1 species